rnacentral:pre_miRNA from 1 species
ACAAUACUCUCUCUGUCCCAUAUUAAGUGACUUUCUAUUACAUAUAUGUAGACGGUUUUUAGGCAUAGAUACAUCCAUAUUUAGGCAAAUUUGAGUCACUCAAUAUGGGACGGAGGGAGUAUCUU